rnacentral:rRNA from 1 species
UACGUAGGGUCCGAGCGUUGUCCGGAAUUACUGGGCGUAAAGCGCGUGUAGGCGGGUCUUUAAGUCAGGGGCGAAAUGCCAGGGCUCAACCUUGGAACUGCCUUUGAUACUGGAGACCUUGAGUCCGGGAGAGGUGAGUGGAAUUGCGAGUGUAGAGGUGAAAUUCGUAGAUAUUCGCAAGAACACCAGUGGCGAAGGCGGCUCACUGGCCCGGAACUGACGCUGAGACGCGAAAGCGUGGGGAGCAAACAGG